UACGUAGGUGGCAAGCGUUGUCCGGAAUUACUGGGUGUAAAGGGAGCGCAGGCGGGGCAACAAGUCAGCUGUGAAAUGCAAUGGCUCAACCAUUGAACUGCAGUUGAAACUGUCGCUCUUGAGUGAAGUAGAGGUUGGCGGAAUUCCGAGUGUAGCGGUGAAAUGCGUAGAUAUCCGGAGGAACACCGGUGGCGAAGGCGGCCAACUGGGCUUUUACUGACGCUGAGGCUCGAAAGUGUGGGGAGCAAAC
rnacentral:rRNA from 1 species